rnacentral:rRNA from 1 species
ACUCCUACGGGAGGCAGCGGUGGGGAAUAUUGUUCAAUGGGCGCAAGCCUGAUCCAGCCAUGCCGCGUGAGUGACGAAGGCCUUAGGGUUGUAAAGCUCUUUUGGCGCGGACAAUAAUGACGGUACCCGCACAAUAAGCUCCGGGUAAGUUCGUGCCUGCAGCCGCGGUAAUACGAAGGGAGCUAGCGUUGUUCGGAAUUACUGGGCGUAAAGCGCACGUCCGCGGAUUUGUUAGUCAGGGGUGAAAUCCCGGGGCCCAACCUCCGAACUGCCUUUGAUACUGCAAGUCUGGAGUCCGGAAGAGGUGGGUGGAAUUCCUAGUGUAGAGGUGAAAUUCGUAGAUAUUAGGAAGAACACCGGUGGCGAAGGCGGCCCACUGGUCCGGUACUGACGCUGAGGUG